AGCGAACGCUGGCGGCAGGCUUAACACAUGCAAGUCGAGCGGGCCCUUCGGGGUCAGCGGCAGACGGGUGAGUAGCACGUGGGAACGUACCCUUUGGUUCGGAAUAACGCUGGGAAACUAGCGCUAAUACCGGAUACGCCCUUUUGGGGAAAGGCUUGCUGCCGAAGGAUCGGCCCGCGUCUGAUUAGCUAGUUGGUGGGGUAAUGGCCUACCAAGGCGACGAUCAGUAGCUGGUCUGAGAGGAUGAUCAGCCACACUGGGACUGAGACACGGCCCAGACUCCUACGGGAAGCAGCAGUGGGGAAUAUUGGACAAUGGGCGCAAGCCUGAUCCAGCCAUGCCGCGUGAGUGAUGAAGGCCUUAGGGUUGUAAAGCUCUUUUGUCCGGGACGAUAAUGACGGUACCGGAAGAAUAAGCCCCGGCUAACUUCGUG
rnacentral:rRNA from 1 species